GAAACAAUAGCGAUUCAAUUUUUUUUUCUUUAGGAUACAAUCGACUAUUCAGAUUGUAUGAUUAGAUUUCGACUAUUUAAAGACCCCCAACCAACUCCAAUAGCAUCAGAAAUCAACUAACGAGAGACAGUGAUUUUUCCAAAAUGCCUAGCCAAGAAACCCAUCUUAAGGUGACAAACUCCACUAAAACCGACAUCGUUGCAACAGUGGUGUCAGGAACCAACCCAUCUGACUGGGAAGACAAACUAGGUCCUGCAGGAAACUUCCAAGCAGUCGCUAUUCCUGCUGGAAAAUCCGAGGAACGAAGAGAAGAAGUAAAUUAUUUCGCCUCCAAAUGUCCUUUCACCAUGAAACUAAUCUUUGCUGACCAGACCCAAGACGAGUACACCAUUAAUCAAAAAUUUGCAAUUGGAAAAGCUCAACCUGACUUUAGCCAUACAGGAGAUCAUAUUGUAAAUUAUGAUCAGGGUGAUAAAUACGUUAUUAUCACUGUUUACGAUCAAGGCAAAUUCCAGGAAAAAAAUUAACUUGUACUUUAAGAUGGAAGCAACUAAAUAAAUGUUGAUUUAGACAUCAAAAAA